UAUGUGGCUCCUAGAGGCAGCGAGGUUUAUAAGGAGGUGCAAGUACUGGGCUGCGCAUAUCGAGUGGACGAUCACUGGCACCAUUGCUGGCACGAAGCAAGAAAAAGUAUGAGGUCGCUUCUCAUAGUCCUGGUCGCAUUCGCUCUUCAGGAGGUGGUACUCGGAAGGGCUACUACUGAGGCACCAUGCCCUCAAAAUACAACACGAAAACAUAACGUGGGAAACUGUGAUGAGUGCAAAUGCUCCUCGCUCGACCAGCCUGAUGGAAGACCACUAGUUUGCACUUUGGAGCUUGUUUUGUCAGGGUGUAUGUGCGAUAAUGAGCAUUGUAGAACCAAAGAUGGCAAAAAAUGCGUCUCUAGAUCUGACUGCUACUAACUAACGCAGUAUAGCCAUGGAAAUCUGCUAUUGCCGAUCUCACGCAUUAAAAAAAUAA